rnacentral:rRNA from 1 species
AUUGAACGCUGGCGGCAGGCCUAACACAUGCAAGUCGAACGCGUGGCGGACGUGUGAGUAAUGUCUGGGACACUGCCUGGUGGAGGGGGAUAACUACUGGAAACUGUAGCUAAUACCGCAUACCCUCAUGUGUGCCCAUAUGGGAUUAGCUUGUUAGUGGGGUAACGGCUCACCAAGGCGACGAUCCCUAGCUGGUCUGAGAGGAUGACCAGCCACACUGGAACUGAGACACGGUCCAGACUCCUACGGGAGGCAGCAGUGGGGAAUAUUGCACAAUGGGCGAAAGCCUGAUGCAGCCAUGCCGCGUGUAUGAAGAAGGCCUUAGGGUUGUAAAGUACUUUCAGUGGGGAGGCGUUACCCGCAGAAGAAGCACCGGCUAACUCCGUGCCAGCAGCCGCGGUAAUAC